rnacentral:snRNA from 1 species
GUGCUCGCAUUGGCAGCACAUAUAUUAAAAUUUAAUUGAUACAGAUAAGAUUAGCAUGCCCCCUGUGCAAGGAAAAAAAAAAGUUGCAUGCAUGAGAGUUUAU